GACGAACGCUGGCGGCGUGCUUAACACAUGCAAGUCGAACGGAAAGGCCCUUCGGGGUACUCGAGUGGCGAACGGGUGAGUAACACGUGGGUGAUCUGCCCUGCACUUUGGGAUAAGCCUGGGAAACUGGGUCUAAUACCGAAUAGGACCGCGCGCUUCAUGGUGUGUGGUGGAAAGCUUUUGCGGUGUGGGAUGGGCCCGCGGCCUAUCAGCUUGUUGGUGGGGUAAUGGCCUACCAAGGCGACGACGGGUAGCCGGCCUGAGAGGGUGACCGGCCACACUGGGAGUGAGGUACGGGCCAGACUCCUACGGGAGGCAGCAGUGGGGAAUAUUGCACAAUGGGCGCAAGCCUGAUGCAGCGACGCCGCGUGAGGGAUGACGGCCUUCGGGUUGUAAACCUCUUUCACCAGGGACGAAGCGCAAGUGACGGUACCUGGAGAAGAAGCACCGGCCAACUACGUG
rnacentral:rRNA from 1 species